ensembl:lncRNA
AUGCUUUUGUGUAUACAUGUACCUGGGUCUCUGUGGUUACGUCCCUAUACUUUUGUGUACAUCUGUACCUGGAUCUUUGUGCUUAUGUCCCUAUGCUUGUGUGUACAUCUUUACCUAGAUCUCUGUGGUUACAUCCAUAUACUUUUGUAUAUACUUAUAUUUGGAUCUCUUUGGUUACAUCCUUUUUCUCUUGUGUAUACCUGUACCCAGGCCUCUGUGGUUACAUCCUUAUACUUUUGUAUAUACCUCUACCUAAAUCUCUGUGCUUAUGUCCCUAUGCUUUUGUGUAUACCUGUACCUGUAUCUCUCUGGUUACGCCCAUAUACUUUUGUGUAUACCUGUACCUGGAUCUCUGUGGUUACAUCCCUAUACUUUUGUGUAUACCUCUACCUAAAUCUCUGUGCUUAUGUCCCUAUGCUUUUGUGUAUACCUGUACCUGUAUCUCUGUGGUUAUGUCCAUAUACUUUUGUGUAUACCUGUACCUAGGUCUCUGUGGUUACUUCCUUAUGCUUUUGUAUAUACCUGUACUUGUAUCUCUCUGAUUAUGUCAAUAUGCUUUUGUGUAUACCUGUACCUGGAUCUCUGUGGUUACGUCCAUAUACUUUUGUGUAUACCUGUACCUGGAUCUCUGUGGUUAUGUCCAUAUACUUUUGUGUAUACCUGUACCUGGAUCUCUGUGGUUACGUCCAUAUACUUUUGUGUAUACCUGUAUCUAGAUCUCUCUGGUUACAUUAUUCUUUUGUGUAUACCUGUACCUGGAUCUCUCUGAUUACGUCCAUAUGCUUUUCUGUAUACCUGUACCUGGAUCUCUCUGGUUAAAUCCAUAUACUUUUGUGUAUGCCUGUACCUGAAUCUCUGUGGUUACGUCCCUAUGCUUUUGUGUAUACCUGUAAUGUUGAUGUGUCUGGAUGUGGAUGGCCUUGAGUCAUUGUCCUAUAAUUGAGUCAAUUUAGAAUUAGAAAGAAUCUUAGAAGACCCACAGGUCAGGUGACUUACCUAAGAUCACACAGGUAGAAAGGGAUAAGGGCUUGUGACUUGGAGUAUUAGAAAGCUUGAAGGAACUGGAAUCAGGAAGAACCUGAGGUCAAAUUUGCUCUCCUGCCUCUACUUAACCAGCUGUGUGACUGUUGGUCAAUCACAUGCUCUCCGCCUUCAAUCUCCUCAUCUGUAAGACAGUAACAGUAUUGUUCGGUUGUUUUUCCAGUCAUGUCUGAUAUUUUGUGACCCCAUUUGGGGUUUUCUUAGAGCAAAUCCUGCAGUGGUUCGCCAUUUCCUUCUCCAACUUAUUUUACAGGUGAGGAAACUGAGGCAAACAGGAUUAAGUGACUUGUCCAAGGUGACACAGCUAGACCAGUUUUGAAUUCAGGCCCUUCUGACCAUAGAGCUGACAUUUUGAUGGGGAAGACAUUAUUCAAACCCCUGUAACACCCCCCCCACACACACACGCCACAGGAUUGUUGUGUGAAUCAAGUGAGAUAAUGCAGAAAGUGCUUUGUGAGUCUUAAAAAUGGUACCCUGGAAAGCGCAGACAAUCUGGAGUCAGAGCUGCCUUCAGAUCCUGCGGGUAAGGCACUUUACCUCAGUCUCUCCAUCUGUAAAACGACUAGCUGACCCCAUGGGGUCUCUCAGUCCCAGUCCUAUGGCUGUGAAUCCUCCACAGUGUGGAUGUUAUUGUGGCUGGGAGAACCCGCGUGCCGGUGCCUCGGUCUACGUUUGUCUGGCACUUUGGGUGGCUGUGUGCGUCUGGCUGGAGUUUGGUCUGUGUGUCUGUCACUGCAUCUUUUCCCCAGGGGGCCUGGGGAGAAGGAACAUCAACGGCAGCUUAGAGUUCAUAAGAAUUUCAACAGUCAUGAAGCCAGGGAAUCCUACAAGCUGGUUCCUGCCCAGACCAGCGAUGUUUAUGUUCUGAACUAACCUGCAGAUCAACUCUUCCCCUGAGUUGUUGGCCCCGGGCCCAGGCCAGCCCAGAGAGUUCUGGGCCCAGAGCCAGACCAAGGUCUCUCGUGAAGAGACCCAGCCCCCACUCUCCAGCCUUUUCCCCUUCUUGCUUCUUCACUUGUCCCUUCCCACAAGAGAUGGAGAAUUAGAGACUGUCAACUGCAAGGGGCCCUUCAGGGCCUCUGUGCCCAACAACUGGCCUUCUCCAUUUCCUGACCCUUUCCAUCUCCUCCUGCACCGCUGGAAGGCCAUUCCAGUGUCUCGGGUGUAUUUCUGUCUCUUUAGUUUCUUUCAUAUUUCAAAAGUCAUCUUCAGCAUGAAUCCUUUCCUGAUCCCCUCAGUUGCUAGUUCUCUUCCCCCCCUCAAAAAAUGACCUUGUAUUUAUUUUAUAUAUACAAAUAUAAAAGUCCUGACUCCUGAAUUUAACUACAAAAGGACUUAGACUCUCUUCCUCAGACCCUUUUUGCUGAGUUGCCAGGGAAGGUCAGUCACAAGCUGGGUUAUAUAUGAUUAUGUAUGUAUUAUGUUAGAUUAUGUGUGAUUUUGUGGGCUUCAGAAGGUAGGAAAUCAAAGAUUCCUCCAACCGCCAGAAUCAGAAGCAGGGACUGUCUAGAACCAGUACCUAAAUAUAAGGAAAAGCCAGCCUUGACCCUACCCAGCACUUGGUUGACCCAUCAGCUGAGAUACCACAUUCUGAAAGGAGCCAGCCCAACUGAGCAAGGGAGUAGCCUUCCCCAUUGCUGAUUCACCCCGAAUUGAACUUACUGGGGACUCUGCCAAGCAAGAAAAGGAUUUCCAGUGUCGCUAUCUCUUCAACAGAAGAAACAGGCUCCCCAAAUGCUCCAUUUCCCCAAGGAAUAAUUUUUUAGGGCUUUAAAGGGGACUCCCCAGUAAGGGCAGAGAGGGUGGGAAACUUUUAAAAGGUAUCCAUAAUAUAAACAAGAGUCAGAUAGAGAACAAUUUUAUUCCCACAAGUAGAAAAGGGGACAAAUGUAUAUAAAAUGAUUACAGUCAAUUGAAAAGUUACUAUUCAAGUCUCCUUGGGACAUUACACUUCAUGUUUAGCCAGGGAAAAGGCUCUUUCAGUGGUCUCCUUCUGUCUUUGUCAUUGGGAUACUUUUCCCCUUGGUUCUUCCCUCUGCCACUGUUGUCAGUGUUGUCAGUACAACUGAUUCAGUAACCGUUUGUCACUGGCUACUAAAGUCAUCAAGAAAGAGAAGUCCUUAACUGUACAAUAUUUCGGAGUCCGAUUCUUUUUGUACAGCAAAAUAAUGGUUUGGACAUGUAUACUUAUUUUGUAUUUAAUUUAUACUCUAAUAUAUUUAACAUGUAUUGGUCAUCCUGCCAUCCAGGGGAGGAGGUGGGGGGAAAGAGGGGAAAAAUUGGAACAAAAGGUUUGGCAAUUGUCAAUGCUGUAAAAUUACCCAUGCAUAUAACUUGUAAAUAAAAAGCUAUUA